UACAACGUUCACCUUCAAAAU
rnacentral:piRNA from 1 species